rnacentral:lncRNA from 1 species
AUGAGGUUUCCUGAGGUGGUACCAUGGGGGGAGAUUUCAGGACAGUUUUGGAAGACUACACAGAGAACAACUUGGAUCCCAGUGCGAAUGAACAGACGUGAUUUACAAGAUUCUGAUACCUGCUGGUCAUAAAAAGUCGACUGUGGGUAAAGUGUUGGUGGAGGUUUCUGAGGCAAUGAGGUGUGUGGCUUACCCCAACAUGGC